UACGAGGGGGGCGAGCGUUGUUCGGAAUUAUUGGGCGUAAAGGGUGCGUAGGCGGUUCCGCAAGUCCUGUGUGAAAUCUUCGGGCUCAACUCGAAGUCUGCACGGGAAACUGCGGGGCUUGAGUGUGGGAGAGGUGAGUGGAAUUCCCGGUGUAGCGGUGAAAUGCGUAGAUAUCUGGAGGAAUACCGGUGGCGAAGGCGGCAUCCUGGACCGACAUUGACGCUGAUGAGCGAAAGCUAGGGGAGCAAACGGG
rnacentral:rRNA from 1 species